GAACUGUAAUGCUAAGUGGUUAACGUAGCCCUUCAUGGGCGACGUUAGCCACUUAGCAUUUUCCAGUCCACGAUGGAACUUUACGAAAAGUGACUGAUGAGGAUCAGUCCAGCAUGUGGACUCAAUAACUAAAGGCGACCACGACGACAGCCGCUGUUAGAGUGGCUUUGUUCGCCAAGGUAGUCUGCAUCCCGACGUCCAAAGCUUGGUGGGAGUACCAGGGCCUCAUCACAACUUGGUGUCGUAGGCAGAUGAUUUUUAAUGUCUUAACGACUUUACACGAUUGGCUGAAGGAGGUCCAGUCGAGCGUGAAGGUCGAAAGACUGGAGGCUACCGUGAAGACAGCCGCUGCUGGUGUAGCAGGUAGUCACGGCAUUCUACAUCAGGACGUUCAAAGCUUGGGAGGAGAACCAGGGGCUCACCCUAACUUGGUGCCGCGGGUGGAUGUAUACAACGUGUCCAGCGCCGCCGCCACGCGUGCUGGUAGGCUGUGAUUCCGCGGUACCGCUGGAGCCCUGACCAGCCGAUCAACACUCGUUCUACGUUUAUAUAAAGUGGAAACAGUGAUUGAUUGUGAUUGGAACGAAACUGGACUGGACUGUAACAUGAACACACAUGUUAAGCAUUGUGCCUCAUAAGGAUGUAUAUGUAAUAAUUUACCCGACGGUAUUGUGCACGAACUACGAUAGAAUUUUGGACCCAUUCUAAAUA